UACGUAGGGGCCAAGCGUUGUCCGGAUUUAUUGGGCGUAAAGAGCGUGUAGGCGGCCUGACAGGUCCGUUGUGAAAACUGGAGGCUCAACCUCCAGACGUCGACGGAAACCGUGUGGCUAGAGUCCGGAAGAGGAGAGUGGAAUUCCUGGUGUAGCGGUGAAAUGCGCAGAUAUCAGGAAGAACACCAAUGGCGAAGGCAGCUCUCUGGGACGGUACUGACGCUGAGACGCGAAAGCGUGGGGAGCGAACAGG
rnacentral:rRNA from 1 species